rnacentral:rRNA from 1 species
AGGAGCUUGCUCCUUUGACGUUAGCGGCGGACGGGUGAGUAACACGUGGGCAACCUACCUUAUAGUUUGGGAUAACUCCGGGAAACCGGGGCUAAUACCGAAUAAUCUAUUUUACUUCAUGGUGAAAUACUGAAAGACGGUUUCGGCUGUCGCUAUAAGAUGGGCCCGCGGCGCAUUAGCUAGUUGGUGAGGUAACGGCUCACCAAGGCGACGAUGCGUAGCCGACCUGAGAGGGUGAUCGGCCACACUGGGACUGAGACACGGCCCAGACUCCUACGGGAGGCAGCAGUAGGGAAUCUUCCACAAUGGGCGAAAGCCUGAUGGAGCAACGCCGCGUGAGUGAAGAAGGUUUUCGGAUCGUAAAACUCUGUUGUAAGGGAAGAACAAGUACAGUAGUAACUGGCUGUACCUUGACGGUACCUUAUUAGAAAGCCACGGCUAACUACGUGCCAGCAGCCGCGGUAAUACGUAGGUGGCAAGCGUUGUCCGGAAUUAUUGGGCGUAAAGCGCGCGCAGGCGGUCCUUUAAGUCUGAUGUGAAAGCCCACGGCUCAACCGUGGAGGGUCAUUGGAAACUGGGGGACUUGAGUGCAGAAGAGGAAAGUGGAAUUCCAAGUGUAGCGGUGAAAUGCGUAGAGAUUUGGAGGAACACCAGUGGCGAAG